rnacentral:lncRNA from 1 species
CUGACCUGGGCCCACUGUCUGGCACUCCCUAGUGAGAUGGACCCGGUACCUCAGAUGGAAAUGCAGAAAUCACCCGUCUUCUGCGUCGCUCCGAAAGAGUGGACCAGGAGGAGUUUUCAGAGGAGUCUGUGAUAGGCGCUUUGUGACUCCAGGACACGUUGAGUAUACGUGAUUGAUGAAACCAAUGGUACAUCUGGAACACUGGCUGAAAUGAAGAAUGGAAAAUGUUAGCUUUCCAGGCCUCCUCAGGCCAGGAAGGCAUACUGGAGAGAUACGGCAGCAGAGUCACACAAGCAAGGCAGCUGGAUUUGUGACAAUGAGAGAAGCGCGGGGUCAAAGAACAUAGAGUGUUUUGAGAACAGUGUCUCCAGAUGAGAGGGAAGAGAACUGAGUCUUGCUACGUUGCCCAGGACUGACUCAAAACUUCUGGGACCAUGCAAGCCUUCUGCUUCCUGAGUAACUGGGGACUACAGGCAUGUACCACCAUGCCGGACUCAAGCAUGUAUUCUAUGUCUGUUUUUUUCUCACAAUAUGUUUUUGAGAUUCAUCCAUGUUGUUGCAUAUAACAAUAGUACAUUGUGCUAUAUUGUUUGGUAAUAUUCCAUAACACAACAUAUUUCCCCAGUUUUUAUUCAUUCUCCUGUAAAUGGACAUUUCGGUCUUUCUUGUUACUGCCUUUUUAGAAUAAGGCUACCAUAGACAUUCUUGCGCAAUUCUUUUUUUGGACUUAUUAUUAAUAUUUCUUUUGGGCAUAAACCUAAAAGUAGAAUUGCUAGUUUAUAGGUUAGAAGUAUACUUAAUUUUAUAACAAACUGCCUAACAGCUCUUGCAAGUGAUUUUACCAUUCUUCACUCCCACAGACAAUGUAGGAAAGUUCCAAUUGUUCCACAUUCUUGCCAACUUCUGGUAUUGUCAGUCUUUUUGAUCUUAUGUAUUGGGUACACAAUGAUGUCGCACUGUGAUUUUAAUUUGUACUUCGCUAAUAUCGAAUAAUGUUAUUUGAUUUUUUAAAUUUAUUUUUAUUUAUUCUUGGUCAUUUUAUAUAUCUUUUCUUGUAAAGCAUCUGUUCAAGUGUUUCCAGUUUUUAAAUAGUGUUGUUACUUUUUCUUAAUUUAAAAGAAUUCUAUACAUAUUUUCCAUGAGUCUUUUGUCAGAGAAAAAAAGUUUUAUAAACUUUUUUCCCCAAAUGUGCCUUAAUUAUUCAUUUUCUUAAUGACAAUGGUGGUGAUUAACUUCAUGUAUCAAUUUGGCUAGGCUAUAACACCCAGAUAUUCAAUCAAAUAUUAACCUAGGUUUUUGUAUUUGUGAAUACAAAUAUACACUGUGUGUAUCUGUGUAGUAUUUUGUAGAUGCAAUUAACAUCCAUCAUCAGUUGAUUUUAAGUAAAGGAGGUAAUGUGUAUGGGUCUCAUCUAAUCAGUUGAAGGCCUUAAGAGCAAAAACUAAGGUUUUCCAAAGAAGGAGAAAUUCUUCCUCCAUACUGUAUAGAAACCCUGCUUGAGUUUCUAUCUCCUCAUCCUGCUACAAACUUUUAAAAUAUUUUAAUUUUAAAAUUUAUAGUGCUCUUAUGACUUUUGCAAUAAAUCUUUGCCUACCCCAUGGUUGCAAAAUUAUUUUUCUAUUUUUCUUUGAGUCUAUGCUUCUGUGUCAGCAAUGUUUUGUUGUCUUUAGUCAUGCAUAUAAUCUAUUAGACUUAUUUAUAAGUAUUUAAUAUUUUUAUAUG